AGCAGAGUGGCUUAAUUUAGCACGUUCGCUAACGUACAGUGUUUUCUGGCAGCGUGUAAGUGAAGCUGUCGGUCACAGCUGAUGGAGAUAGUGCUGUGAUUUCCUCGUUUAUCUCGGUGUUCACUCAGAAAGCACGUUGGCUUCUGGGUUUCUUGGUGUGUGUGUGUGUGUGUGUCUAGCCUGCUAACUGCAUCGCCGGCUGUAAGUCUGGCGUGGCACUGGGAGUUCAAACUAUGAGAUCGCAUUUUCUACUAUCAAAACUUUACACUGCACCAAUUCUGAUGUGAAAACUUAAAAAACAAUAACAA